rnacentral:rRNA from 1 species
CAGCCGCCGCGGUAAUACGUAGGUGGCAAGCGUUGUCCGGAAUUAUUGGGCGUAAAGGGCCCGCAGGCGGUUUCUUAAGUCUGAUGUGAAAGCCCCCGGCUCAACCGGGGAGGGUCAUUGGAAACUGGGAAACUUGAGUGCAGAAGAGGAGAGUGGAAUUCCACGUGUAGCGGUGAAAUGCGUAGAGAUGUGGAGGAACACCAGUGGCGAAGGCAACUCUCUGGUCUGUAACUGACGCUGAGGAGCGAAAGCGUGGGGAGCGAACAGGAUUAGAUACCCGUGUAGUCCCUGUCUCUUAUAC